AGAGUUUGAUCAUGGCUCAGAUUGAACGCUGGCGGAAUGCUUUACACAUGCAAGUCGAACGGCAGCACGGGGGCAACCCUGGUGGCGAGUGGCGAACGGGUGAGUAAUACAUCGGAACGUGCCCACGUCGUGGGGGAUAACGUAGCGAAAGCUACGCUAAUACCGCAUACGAUCUACGGAUGAAAGCGGGGGAUCGCAAGACCUCGCGCGAUUGGAGCGGCCGAUGGCAGAUUAGGUAGUUGGUGGGGUAAAGGCUCACCAAGCCGACGAUCUGUAGCUGGUCUGAGAGGACGACCAGCCACACUGGGACUGAGACACGGCCCAGACUCCUACGGGAGGCAGCAGUGGGGAAUUUUGGACAAUGGGCGCAAGCCUGAUCCAGCCAUUCCGCGUGCAGGAUGAAGGCCCUCGGGUUGUAAACUGCUUUUGUACGGAACGAAAAGCCUUCUUCUAAUACAGGAGGGUCAUGACGGUACCGUAAGAAUAAGCACCGGCUAACUACGUGCCAGCAGCCGCGGUAAUACGUAGGGUGCAAGCGUUAAUCGGAAUUACUGGGCGUAAAGCGUGCGCAGGCGGUUAUGUAAGACAGUUGUGAAAUCCCCGGGCUCAACCUGGGAACUGCAUCUGUGACUGCAUAGCUAGAGUACGGUAGAGGGGGAUGGAAUUCCGCGUGUAGCAGUGAAAUGCGUAGAUAUGCGGAGGAACACCGAUGGCGAAGGCAAUCCCCUGGACCUGUACUGACGCUCAUGCACGAAAGCGUGGGGAGCAAACAGGAUUAGAUACCCUAGUAGUCC
rnacentral:rRNA from 1 species